rnacentral:snoRNA from 13 species
CUGGGGCACAGAGUUGCAGUUGAUUGAAACUAAAUCAUGUGCGCUAAGUUGUCCCGAAAUCAUCGUUUCGGAUUAUAAGAAGGCAGUGUUACUCCUCUAGGACACUGUUGAUAUGAUAUUCGUACAAUU